CCUACGGGCGGCAGCAGUGAGGAAUAUUGGUCAAUGGCCGGGAGGCUGAACCAGCCAAGUCGCGUGAGGGAAGACGGCCCUACGGGUUGUAAACCUCUUUUGUCAGGGAGUAAGGUGCAGGUCGGGACCUGCUGUGAGAGUACUUGAAGAAAAAGCAUCGGCUAACUCCGUGCCAGCAGCCGCGGUAAUACGGAGGAUGUGAGCGUUAUCCGGAUUUAUUGGGUUUAAAGGGUGCGCAGGCGGAGGCAAAAGUCAGCGGUAAAAUCGUGGGGCUCAACCCCGCUCCGCCGUUGAAACUGUGUCCCUUGAGUGCGCGAAGGGUAGGCGGAAUGCGUGGUGUAGCGGUGAAAUGCAUAGAUAUCACGCAGAACUCCGAUCGCGAAGGCAGCCUGCUAAACUGCAACUGACGUUGAGGCCCGAAAGCGUGGGGAGCAAACAGGAUUAGAUACCCCAGUAGUC
rnacentral:rRNA from 1 species